rnacentral:rRNA from 1 species
AGUGGCAAAGGGGGCAGUCAUGCGUGUGUAACCUACCCCGGGGACCGGGAUACCCAUCCUAACGGGUGGGUAAUACCGGGCGAUUUGGCGAAGGCGCAUGUCUUUGCCAGGAAAUGAAUUUCGCCUCGGGAGGGGCUCACGUGGUAUUAGCUACUUGGUGAGGUAACGGUUCACCAAGGCAAAAAUGCCUAGCGGGUGUGAAAGCACGACCCGCCCCACUGGAACUGACACACUGGCCAAACUCCUACGGGAGGCUGCAAUCGAGGAUCUUCCGGAAUGGGCGCCACCCUGACCGAGCGACACCCCUUGAGCGAUGAAGGCCUUCUGGUUGUAAACCACUGUCAAGGGGGAGGAAGCCGAAAGGUUGACCUAUCCCUGGAGGAAGCCCGGGCUAAUUUCUUGCCAGCAGCCGCGGUAAGACAAACCGGGCAAACGUUGUUCGGAAUCACUGGCCUUAUGGGCCGCGUAGGCGCUCGAUCAUUUCUGAGGAGGAAUCUUUCAGCAUAGCCGGAAUAGUGCCUUGGA